AGGAGCUUGCUCUGGGGAUUAGUGGCGAACGGGUGAGUAACACGUGAGUAACCUGCCCUUGACUCUGGGAUAAGCGUUGGAAACGACGUCUAAUACCGGAUACGAGCUUCCACCGCAUGGUGAGUUGCUGGAAAGAAUUUUGGUCAAGGAUGGACUCGCGGCCUAUCAGCUUGUUGGUGAGGUAACGGCUCACCAAGGCGACGACGGGUAGCCGGCCUGAGAGGGUGACCGGCCACACUGGGACUGAGACACGGCCCAGACUCCUACGGGAGGCAGCAGUGGGGAAUAUUGCACAAUGGGCGAAAGCCUGAUGCAGCAACGCCGCGUGAGGGACGACGGCCUUCGGGUUGUAAACCUCUUUUAGCAGGGAAGAAGCGAAAGUGACGGUACCUGCAGAAAAAGCACCGGCUAACUACGUGCCAGCAGCCGCGGUAAUACGUAGGGUGCAAGCGUUGUCCGGAAUUAUUGGGCGUAAAGAGCUCGUAGGCGGUUUGUCGCGUCUGCUGUGAAAUCCCGAGGCUCAACCUCGGGUCUGCAGUGGGUACGGGCAGACUAGAGUGCGGUAGGGGAGAUUGGAAUUCCUGGUGUAGCGGUGGAAUGCGCAGAUAUCAGGAGGAACACCGAUGGCGAAGGCAGAUCUCUGGGCCGCUACUGACGCUGAGGAGCGAAAGGGUGGGGAGCAAACAGGCUUAGAUACCCUGGUAGUCCACCCCGUAAACGUUGGGCGCUAGAUGUGGGGACCAUUCCACGGUUUCCGUGUCGUAGCUAACGCAUUAAGCGCCCCGCCUGGGGAGUACGGCCGCAAGGCUAAAACUCAAAGGAAUUGACGGGGGCCCGCACAAGCGGCGGAGCAUGCGGAUUAAUUCGAUGCAACGCGAAGAACCUUACCAAGGCUUGACAUAUACGAGAACGGGCCAGAAAUGGUCAACUCUUUGGACACUCGUAAACAGGUGGUGCAUGGUUGUCGUCAGCUCGUGUCGUGAGAUGUUGGGUUAAGUCCCGCAACGAGCGCAACCCUCGUUCUAUGUUGCCAGCACGUUAUGGUGGGAACUCAUGGGAUACUGCCGGGGUCAACUCGGAGGAAGGUGGGGACGACGUCAAAUCAUCAUGCCCCUUAUGUCUUGGGCUUCACGCAUGCUACAAUGGCCAGUACAAAGGGCUGCAAUACCGUAAGGUGGAGCGAAUCCCAAAAAGCUGGUCCCAGUUCGGAUUGAGGUCUGCAACUCGACCUCAUGAAGUCGGAGUCGCUAGUAAUCGCAGAUCAGCAACGCUGCGGUGAAUACGUUCCCGGGCCUUGUACACACCGCCCGUCAAGUCAUGAAAGUCGGUAACACCCGAAGCCAGUGGCCUAACCGCAAGGAAGGAGCUGUCUAAGGUGGGAUCGGUAAUUAGGACUAA
rnacentral:rRNA from 1 species